UGUUUCGGCUAGGGGGCCAUCCCGGCUUACCAACCCGAUGCAAACUGCGAAUACCGGAGAAUGUUAUCACGGGAGACACACGGCGGGUGCUAACGUCCGUCGUGAAGAGGGAAACAACCCAGACCGCCAGCUAAGGUCCCAAAGUCAUGGUUAAGUGGGAAACGAUGUGGGAAGGCCCAGACAGCCAGGAUGUUGGCUUAGAAGCAGCCAUCAUUUAAAGAAAGCGUAAUAGCUCACUGGUCGAGUCGGCCUGCGCGGAAGAUGUAACGGGGCUAAACCAUGCACCGAAGCUGCGGCAGCGACACUUUAGUGUUGUUGGGUAGGGGAGCGUUCUGUAAGCCGUUGAAGGUGUCCUGUGAGGGGUGCUGGAGGUAUCAGAAGUGCGAAUGCUGACAUAAGUAACGAUAAAGCGGGUGAAAAGCCCGCUCGCCGGAAGACCAAGGGUUCCUGUCCAACGUUAAUCGGGGCAGGGUGAGUCGACCCCUAAGGCGAGGCCGAAAGGCGUAGUCGAUGGGAAACGGGUUAAUAUUCCCGUACUUGGUGUUACUGCGAAGGGGGGACGGAGAAGGCUAUGUUGGCCGGGCGACGGUUGUCCCGGUUUAAG
rnacentral:rRNA from 1 species